GGGACAAUUUACACAACAAAUUUCAUAGCAAAGUUCCGAUAAUCCCGAUCUCUUCUAUUUCCGAUCUUCUUCAUCUAAGCUGCUUGAGAUUUCCGAUUUUGUUGAUUUCAGUCUCUGUUUGGAAUCAAGCUCAGAGGCGGAGAAGCAUAACUAAAACCGAUGAUCUCUGUUAACGGAUCGAGACGGAACGAGCAUCCUGGCUCAUCAAAACCGCCAACUCAGGUAUCGCAUUCUAACUUGGAACAUGACCAGACAGAUUCGCCGUUAGGUCAUUAGACAUUGAAUAAGGUAAUGGGAAUCGUGAAGGUUGAUGCGGAAAAUUGAAAUGCCAGUGUGGAAGAGUUUGAAAUUAGGAUUGGUCUCGUUAAGCUUCGAAGGAGAUGCUAUCUAUUUGAACAAUGAGGAACUGGCCAGAUUAUCGCUUAUAGCUUGUUUGAUUAUCGUUUUCUAUGUUUAUCCUGCUCAGACAUCUCAAAAUUGGAAAUGAUUAUUAGUAGUGGCUUGUUGAUUUGGUUUAUUGAAAUGGCCUUCUGCAACAAGCUUAAUGAUAUUUUGAAGCAAGGGGUUUCUCAAAGCUCAAAUGUUCAAGUGACAUCUAUGCUUGACUAUCUCCGUUACAUGUCACCAAGCUUUUUUGUUGGUGUCUCUCAUGGGGGAACUCCUUUUAGCAAGCUUUCUCUAACUUUGGCCAAGUGACAGAAGGUGAAUGAAAAUUGUGGGGAUAUAUGAGCUUAACAACAUAUUUCAACCAGCAGAAUCUGACAUUCUUCGUAAAUGUCUACUGUGUCAAAUGACCAUGCCUGCAAGGUUACAACUUACAAAAGCACCAAAUAAUACGAAGAGGAGAAUAGAAGAAUACACAAAUAAUAAGAUUGCAGAUGUGAUGUUAUAGUUUUAGUGACGUUUGUAUUUUAUGUAAAACAGAUUUCUGUAU